rnacentral:rRNA from 1 species
UACGUAGGGUGCAAGCGUUGUCCGGAAUUAUUGGGCGUAAAGAGCUCGUAGGCGGUUUGUCGCGUCUGCUGUGAAAACUCGGGGCUCAACUCCGAGCUUGCAGUGGGUACGGGCAGACUAGAGUGCGGUAGGGGAGACUGGAAUUCCUGGUGUAGCGGUGGAAUGCGCAGAUAUCAGGAGGAACACCAAUAGCGAAGGCAGCUCGCUGGGACGGUACUGACGCUAAGGCGCGAAAGCGUGGGGAGCAAACAGG